rnacentral:snRNA from 1 species
AUAGUUAUCUGGCAGGGGAGAUAACAUGAUCACAAAGAUGGUUUUCCCAGGGCAGAGCUUAUCCAUUGCACUCCAGAUGUGCUGACCCCUGCGAUUUCCCCAAAUGUGGGAAACUUGACUACAUAAUUUGUGGUAGUGGGGGACUGUGUUCUUGCUCUCCCCUG